AGAGAGAGAGAGAGAGAAUGAGAGCCACUCUGUACCAGCCGUGCUGGGUAUUCUAUUCUUUAAUGGCGGAUACAUACAAAAGCUGAAACACAAGAAAUAGCAUUGUUCUGCAAUCAAGACCCACGCCCCUUUUUCAUUAAACUCUGGUUACAAAUAAAAUUGCACCGCCCAUUUAUCGUUAAAACCUAGUGAUGUUGAUUUCUUUUCCUGACCUGUGACUGAAAUGAACGGGAUGGGUUUAAGUUUAAGUGAAAUAUGUUGUCUAUUUUGUUGUCCUCCCUGCCCUUCCAAGAUUGCUGCUAAACUAGCGUUCCUUCCUCCAGAAACUACAUAUUCAUAUGAGGAUGAAGACGAAGCGAGGGAUAAACAAAAACUGGUUUUGAGUGAGAAAGCAGAAUGGCAGUACUCAGACAGAGAGAAGGAAAACCUAGAGGUGUUCUACACCAGAACCAACAGAGGGAACAAGAUCGCUUGUAUGAUGGUUAAAUGCUCUCCUAAUGCUAGGUUUACAAUCCUCCACUCUCACGGGAACGCAGUUGACCUGGGUCAAAUGUCUAGUUUCUACCUGGGUCUAGGAUCUAGGAUCAACUGUAAUAUAUUCAGCUACGACUACAGUGGAUAUGGAGUAUCUUCAGGUAAACCUAGCGAGAAGAAUCUGUACGCUGAUAUUGAGGCGGCCUGGCACGCCCUCAGGACAAGACUAGGCGUGUCACCUGAAAAUAUCAUCCUUUACGGUCAGAGCAUUGGAACUGUACCUACUGUUGACCUCGCCAGUAAAUUCGAGGUCGGAGCUGUGAUCCUGCAUUCUCCCCUGAUGUCGGGAAUGAGAGUUGCGUUCCCUCAAACCAAGAGAACUUGGUUCUUUGAUGCAUUUCCCAGUAUCGACAAGAUACCUCGAGUAACCUCCCCGGUCCUAGUUAUUCAUGGAACUGAAGAUGAGGUUAUAGAUUUCUCUCACGGGUUGGCAAUCUAUGAAAGAUGUCCCCGGGCAGUUGAACCUCUUUGGGUCGAGGGAGCCGGGCAUAACGAUGUAGAACUAUACAACCAAUAUCUAGAACGUCUCAAAACCUUUGUAGCUCAUGAGCUCACCAACUGACACCGAUCCAAACCUGUCGGAGCUGUAGAGCUCGUCCUUACUCAACCUUCCGGACCAGCUCAGUCUCCGGGUCCCUGGGAGUACCGGAAGGACUGGCCUGAAAGGCUCAAGUCUAUGAACCAAAUACAACCCCGGGCCCAGGCAUUUUCUCUGGACCAAAACCGAGUUCGUGACCCGAUUAUUAUUGCAAACGUCCGGCCUACGUCGGAUACUCGAAUCCUAAACCUGGUUCAAUCCGGUUCUCAAGAGGUCGGCUCCGGUCACUCGAGUCCAUUGAACCAACGGAGGACUGAUGUUGACCGACUAUUAUCUGAUGUCUCCGUAUCCCCUCCAGACUGUUUUCAAUCUAUCUCAAUGUCGGAGAAACUGUUGUAGUAGAAUUCUCAACACUAAGAUCAUCCACCCUACUCGGUACACCAUGUACAUUGUACACUGUACUGUAUAGUGUACAUACUUUAGACAAUGCAUGUACACACUGCACCCAGUGUACACAAUUCCCUAUCGUUGAUCAAAGUGAUGCCUCAUAGACGAAAAAGACGGAUUCUUCAGUCAUUGAGAUUAAGAAUUUAUAAUUAUAUGGAUUUGUGUUGUUCUCGUCCUAUCCCCUCACCUAACCUAAUUGAUAUAAACCUUCCUUCUCCAAACCUCCUUGGUUUUCGGGUCUACUGAAACCUGCAUGUUCUUAUUUUCUUAAUUAUCCAGGGAGUUUAUUUUUAUCAAUGCCAAGUUCAAAUACUUGAAACUCUUGAAAGAAGAGUAAAUAUGUUUUAUUUUAGUUAAAUUAUUUAGAAGUCUGGUUGUACAGUGUACACGUAAUAUUAUCAUGGAAACCUCAUUCACAUUUUCUUAUUUCUUCUUGUCCGCUCUUAAACCUUGAUUCAUGUUAAAAUUGUAGAUUCAAUGCUGAUCAAAUGAUAUCCAUGAACUAGCAAGGGUCAAAGAUGAACUUGGAUUUACCUUUAGCCAAGAGUAGACCAUUUACUUUAUUUUUAGACUUUUCUGAGUUAAUAAAGUUUAUCUAUUUAACCUUGUUAACCAGGAGAGUUCUGUCAAAUCCUUGAUAUCCAGUAGCUCUGUUAAGCCUUGGUAUCCAGUUUUAGCUCUGUUAAGCCUCGAUAUCCAGAUUUAGCUCUGUUAAGCCUUGAUAUCCAGUAGCUCUGUUAAGCCUUGGUAUCCAGUUAUAGCUCUGUUAAGCCUCGAUAUCCAGAUUUAGCUCUGUUAAGCCUUAAUAUCCAACUUAGCUCUGCUAAUUAUUGAUAUAUAGUUUAGCUCAUUAAAUCCUUGAUAUUUAAGCUUUAGCACUCUUAAGCCUUGAUAUCCAGCUUUAACUCUGUGAAGUCUUGAUAUCAACCUUUAGCAUUGUUAAAUCCUUGAUAUCCAGUAAGCCCUUUCAUUCCUUGAUAUCCAGCUUUACUGAAUCCCUGCAUAUGCAUUGUGUUUUGUAACCAAUCCUACGUGUCGCUUGCAUAUUGAAUGUAUUAUAAAAGAAAUUAAAAAUUUAUUCAAACCAUUUUCAUAACGUUUGUUUAUAAUCCAAAGAGAAUCUGUUUAUCAAUUAAACUUGCCAGAAUUGUGCAAAAUAGAUAUUUCUGUUCAAUUAAAAAUGUGAAUUUUGAAUAUUAUUUUAAAGCGAAGUUCUAUCUCCUUUGCAUAGACUACUAGAAAUGUUAGAAAAUGGAUUCAGAAGUCUGGAAUUAGUUAGAUAAUGGAUUCAGGAGUCUGGAAUGAGUUAGAUAAUGGAUUCAGAAGUCUGGAAUUAGUUAGAAAAUGGAUUCAGGAGUCUUAAACUUUAAUAUGAUGGAUUUGGAAGGCUGUUAGAUAUCAGGAAUUCAGGAGUCUGGGAAUAGACUGAUAAUGGUUUAGAAGUCUAGAAACUGUUACAUAAUUGAUUCAGAAGUCUGGAAGAUGCUAGAUAAUGGAUUUAGAAGUCUGGAAACUGUUAGAUAA